UUUUUUUUAAAUCUUCCCUAAAAAUGUUUCUGGUUGUUUUUCUCUUUGUUUGUAUACUUUAUCAUUUCACAAUGAAGGUAGAAAAGCUUCUGACAUCAUUUAUCUUUGUUAUAGAUGAGAACCUGCAUUUUAACAGGGUGUGUAAACUUUUUACAUCCAAUGUAUACGGUGACCUCAUCUGUUUUUAUCUCUGUCUACAGCAUCAGAAAUUACCACCAUUUCCCCUGACACUUAUACUGAGUCAGCUGGAGGCCUUGUGUUUGUUUCCCCUGACACUUAUACUGAGUCAGCUGGAGGCCUUGUGUUUGUACUGGGUUUGUCAUGUGCGAUUGUGUUACUGGUCAUUUUGGCGUUGGCUCUGCCCUGGUACAUGGUUUGCAGGAGAGGAACGUAUCAUACACAAGAGCAAAAUGAUGCAGAAGAUCCAAAAAACGAACCCGAUGAGUCCUCAGAUGAAGAGCUGUGAACAUCAUCAUCAUCAUCAUCAUUAUCAUCAUUUCUUCAUAAUGUCUCCUGCUCGAUAUGGACUUGUGGACAUGUUGGAUAUUUAUCAUAUUUCUUCUGUCCACUAUCGUUCCUUUUAAGUUCCAAGAGAUUUCUUCUUUUUUUAUUUUAUUUUAAUUCAUGUGUUAUCAACUUCUUUGUUCUCUUCACGUCAUUGGUCUCUAAAAGGAAUCUGUGUUCUGAUUGGUUGAGAGCAUCGGCGGCGAUGGCUUUAGUGUUUAGCGAUAAAAUGAUGAAUUAUAAAUAUUUUGGUAGCACACUUAAAGUUUUGGUCCCAACUAGAUAAGAACUUUUUCUUUUCAAUUAAGAGACUUUUUUAUUAUUUUUUUUAUUUCAUUAGAUCAUCUUUAUUUCAUCCGUGUCUCUGCCUUUAACAGCUCCUUCAUCCUGAACAUGUCCAAUCCACACACAUCAAAUAUUCAGCGGGACAGAAAAUGUUCCUUUUGCUCGUCCAAAUGUUUUAUUAAUCUUCUAAUAUCUUUUACUUUUAAAAAAAGAAUUUUUUUUUUUUAAAAAAGAGCCUGGACUUUGAAGCUCUCAUCUCACACAUGAAGAGAAAUCUUUCCUUGUGGAUAAAAUCAGCGUCGAACUGAUUAAAAAGUGAUUUAUUUUAAACCACAUUUUGAAACCAUGUAGUUAUUUAAAUAUAACAUGAGACAGGAAAUGAAAAAGAGAAAGAAUUGUGACAGAAUGUUAAUAGUGAAGUUACAGCGGAUUAAAAAUAAAUAAAUGCGCAC
ensembl:lncRNA